AUGAAAGUGAAAAAUGAAAGUGAAGUCACUCAGUCAUGUCUGACUCUCAGCGACCCCAUGGACUGCAGCCUACCCGGCUCCUCCGUCCAUGGGAUUUUCCAAGCAAGAGUACUGGAGUGGGGUGUCAACAAGUCUCUGGAGUCCGACAAAUCUAGCUGGCAACCGGCUGAAAAAGCGGCAGUUUUCAGCUGCAAGAGGCAUAAUUCCUGUCCCACGGUGAUUCCAAAGGCACAGUCAUAAAUGACGAAGAUGAAACAAACAAAGCGGUGGAAAGUCUUCAGCGUGGCUAAAUUAACCCCCUGAAAGACUGAAUCUGAAUAUAAGGGAGCCUUCUCCAUGUGGCUCAGUGGUAAGGAAUCUGCCCGCCAAUGCAGGAGCUGUAGGAGAUACAGGUUCAAUCCAUGAGUCAGGAAGAUUCACUGGAAGAGGAAAUGGCAAUCCACUCUAGUAUUCGUGCCUGGAAAAUCCCAUGCCCAGAGGAGCCUGGAGGACUACAAUCCAUGGGGUCACAAAGAGUUGGACAUGACUGAGCAAUUGAGUAUGCACAUCUAUGUCCUAGCAUGAUGUUCCACAAAUAGUUUAUCUAUUUAAUUCUGAUUUUACUAUACAUGUUAUCUGAAAAACAUUUAUUUACUGUUAAUUCCUACUUAUUGCAAAAAAUAUAAAAAAGCAAGAGUGAUAACAAAAGGCAACUAGUAUUUGAUUUCAUUGUUAGGAAAAUAAUAGGGAUGGUGGUGAGGGUUAUGCAUAACUGCAGUCACAUAACUCACCUAAGGAGGGCGACCACAGCACAUGUCCAGGGAAUUAUGGCUUAACAGUGGAAGCCCACUCUUCAUUGGACCUGAUUUUCCUUUUUCCAAGGAAGACCAGAAAUAUAUAUCUUUUAUGUUGAAAUACCCGAUUCUUAAAAGUUCAACAUAUCUGAGGCCCAUAUCUAUAAACUUUAUUUUGUAAUUUUGCAAUGUUAACUCAAAAAAUGUUCUGUGUUGUCAAUAACUGAGUUCCAGGAAUCUGCACUUCAUUCCCCCAACUUAAUCUUCAUUCAUUUGCACUUGGCAAAUAUUUCUUUUUCUCCUUUCUAACACUAGUCUUAAUAAUUUACCAAAGAUAUUUUAAACAUUUAGUAUGUGUCUUCUGAUAACAAAAGUAACAUAUACCCUUAAAAGAAACUUGGAAAAUACUGGAAAUUUUCUUUACAUAAGAAUGUAAGAAUAAUUCUUCUAUACAGUGUUAUCAUUUUUACAUAUUUUCUUCAAUUAGUCUAUGGUAUAUUCAGUUAACAUAAUAAAGUCAUUGAGUUUAGUUUUUAUAAAAGAAAUUCUCCAUUAAAUUAAAAAUUCUUGGUAAGCAUUAUUCUAACAUCUGCAUAAGUUUCUAUUGCUUGGAUUCACCAUAAUUUAUUUAGCCCCUUCUCUAUUGUUGGACAAUUAUGUUGUUUGCAGUGUUUCCCCCAUAAUGAAUAAUGUUGCAGGGAACAGUUUUGUACAUAAAGGUUCAUCUAUAUCUUUGAAUUAUUUUCUUAGAAAUGAAGUCAAUAGAUUCAAAUAUAUAUAAAUAUUUUUAAGGUCAUGUUGAUUUCUAAAAAUACUUUGCCAAAUUAUAAUGCUGCCAGCAAUAUGAAAUUAUAUGUUUUAUUGCAUCCAGAACAUUUGGAUAUUCUCAUUAAAAAAUAUUUUAAGGUACUUGGUAAUUCCAUGUUUCUCUCCUCUCAGGUCUUUUCUCUUGUCACUGACUUAUCUCCACAUAUGAUUUUUGUUCCUUUUUAAAGUGAAAAUUGGGAUUUCUGCCCAUCUACCUACAAAAUUAUCCAUAACCAGGCUCAUUCUUAUUCCUCCCCACUUGCCUCAGGAAAAGAAAUUACCUUUUCAAUUUAGUUGAAUACCUCCACUUGUCCUUUAUUUCUCAUCUCUUUUUAUAUUCUCCAAGAUCAUACUCUCUUAGCCACACUCCUGUCUUCAAUAUUUGCAAUAUCUUGAAAAAAAUAUAUCAGUAUAUUCAAUCUCUCUCUUUUGGUUCUUUCUUUUUCGCUUAUAACAGUUAUCAAUUUUGUUUUCUUAAAUAUUGUUCAUUCUAGUUUUUUUUUUUUUUUAACUUUACACUAUUGUAUUGGUUUUGCCAAAUAUCGAAAUGAAUCUGCCACAGGUAUACAUGUGUUCCCCAUCCUGAACCCUCCUCCCUCCUGCCUCCCCAUACCAUCCCUCUGGGUCAUCCCAGUGCACCAGCCCCAAGCAUCCAGUAUCGUGCAUCGAACCUGGACUGGUGACUCAUUCCAUAUAUGAUAUUUGUUCCUUUUAAAGUGAAAAUUGGGAUUUCUGCCCAUCUACCUACAAAAUUAUCCAUAACCAGGCUCAUUCUUAUU
ensembl:lncRNA